AUGGAUGAAGAACCUGAAAGAACUAAGCGAUGGGAAGGAGGCUAUGAAAGAACAUGGGAGAUUCUUAAAGAAGAUGAAUCUGGAUCACUUAAAGCUACAAUAGAAGACAUUCUAUUCAAGGCAAAGAGAAAAAGGUAUGUAACCUUCCUACGUAUCUUAAAAAGGUAAAAUAUAUUCAUUUUAAGCCUUUCUAUCUAUAAAUACUCCUCAGUACUUCAUUUUAGCUGUGUUUCAGGGAAACUGACCUAUUGCCUUCUGACUAUGGGGAAAGAACUAGCCACCUACCCUUGCCCCAGCAGGAAAUGGUCUUUAGAGACUAUCUACAAUACCUAUAAUUAUGUGUAUUGUAUUCCAUAAGUUAAUUAUUUACUCCACUAAAAAUGGACGUUAUGACAUUCUUAAUCAGAAUUAG
rnacentral:sRNA from 1 species